rnacentral:misc_RNA from 1 species
AUACCAUUGCAGUGAGAGCUGAUCUCACAUGCAUGCCCAAAAUGUCAACCCCAAGAUACCACUGCCGGGUCGUUAAGGUCUCAACUAACUUCGCUGUGAAGAAUAUUCCAGCCAAAAUGUAUCCCUCAUGAGGAAACGUCUCCACUCCUGCUAGGUAGUCCACGAAGUAACUGAUCAAGUAUGGGCCCACAUAAGAAACACAAGUGUUCAAUCCUGCAAAAACUGCAUUGCAGGCAGCCUCCUUCCAGAAAGACUUAAGUAUGGCCCAAGCUAAAGAAGGCUGCUCUGAAGGAUCUUCAGCCUUCAAUUUUUCCCAAUUUGCAUUUAGAACCUUGUAAUUAGUCUUAGAACGAUCUCGUUGAGCAAGAAGUGGAAUGUCUUUCAGCUCAAGAGGCCUCUUUGCGCCUACUGAAAGAAGUGGGUUUAACCAAGAAAGAGUAGCUAAACUGAUAAGUCCCGCA